rnacentral:sRNA from 1 species
CGAUGGCGCAGUAUCCUUAGUUGAUCCGUCGUUUCUGAAAGCGUGCCUAAAAAUACGCAGAUGGCAUAUCGAUGAAGCUCCUUGUGCUUGCUUUUUACGCCCAGUUUAGGGUGAGUGCUGGGAGAUGGGACUGCGGGCUGCCCGUAACGGCAUACGGGAGCUGUCCCGCUUUCCUUGGAGGCUUUCUUCUGUGGGCGCAGGCUCUGGCCGCGCGCUUACAGAUUUAAGAUUAAACCUAUCGCGCGGUACGUUUUAUGAUGCUGUGGAUAGAUGUAGCCUGCCUUGCGUGGCGAUGGCGGAUGGGGUCGCAAACGCCGGCGCUGCGGUCAGCUGCCGCGGCGCACGGCCUGAUAGCCCCUGAAAUCACCGCUGCAAAAGAGGAUAGGAAGCGGUAGCGGAUUAUAGAGGAAAGCUCCUAGGCUGUUCGGACAAUGCCCGUUUGCUUUUGCCGGGCGUCCGAGACGCGAUGCGGAUUGCAGUGUGGACUUAAAGGCAAUCAUGUCCCGGCGAUGGCGACACGCCGGCCCCGGCUUUAAUGGGAAACCGCUCUGUCGGCGACGAAGAGCAGCCGCGGGGGAAAUCCAACCUGACCGUAUGCCACAAGGUUUACGCAUCCCGCCGCCAUCCAAA